CCCCUGACUGAAGUACCUCGGGCCGCCCGCAGCCAGUCACCAGGCACCCGCAGCUCCUGCCGGCCUGAGCUGGGCUCCCCGGGCUGGCGCCGGGCGUAGCUCCCCGGCAGCUCUGGACCACGAGCACGCUUCCUCGCAGCGGGGCCCGCAGGGCUGAGCCAGCGCGGCCGCGACCAGCCUCCCUGCGUGAGGGGGGCGCCUUCCCCCCGACCGACGCGGCUGCCGGGGCAGCGGCCUCUCCCUAGCUGCAGGCGGACCAGAAAAUGGCGGCCGCUGGGCCCCGCCCGCCCGGGGAGGGCUGGACGGUGACGGCGGCGGCGGGAGAGGCGGAGCUGUGCGUCAUGGCCGCCAGCCGCCUCCCGCCCGGCGCCCUCAGCCUGAAGCAGUUCCUGAGGCGGCAGCAAGUCCUUCAGCUCUACAGGAAGAUCCUGCGCGCCAUUCGCGAGGUCCCCGCCGAAGCAGACCGCCACUAUUUAAAGGACUGGGCCAGGGAGGAGUUCAGGAGAAAUAAAGACGCUACAGAAGAGGAUGCAAUCAGGAUGAUGAUUACGCAAGGCAACAUGCAACUUCAGGAACUUCAAAGAACACUUAGACUGGCAAAAUCCUGAUCUUAAUUUUGUUGACAGCUGGACUGUCAUCUACUGUUUAAAAAAAAAAAAAAAAAGUGGGUGUGGGAAUUUCUCAACAGAACAAGCCAGACAACAGUGGACAGAGACCUGGCUGUGCAGCGGCUGUGUGCAGGUUGUGGCCACGUAAUCCAGGAACAGGUCUUGACAUGCAGUGCCCUGGACAGGUGUUGAGCUCCUGUGUGCUGCUGCCCGUGAUCUCCACUGCUUUGGGGGCUUGACAAGGUAAAAUUACCUGCCAGAAGCCUUUAGGAGCCCAAGUACAGUCUGCUAGGGUAAGUUUACUCCCAAGCGUGUGCUGCAGAGAAAGGUAGCUAAUAUGAAGUUCUUCAACUCCAGUAGUUUUGAAGGAGGGAGGACCACAGAGGGUAGCAGAAAGGAAUGGGCAGAAAAUGCCUCCCUUUAUUUUACAGCACACUUGUUGGCUUCAGCAAACCUGUAAAAUCCGUACUCUGCAGCCAAGUUUGAGAGAGACAGGACUAAUUUCUCUUCUAAUGCUUGGGAAAACUGCACUUUUAGAAGACUAGUGUCUGUAUUCAUGAAAAUAUUAUUUACUUUAUAGCCAGCUGGGCCACGUGGGAUUCAAGGUCUCAGUGUUUUCAAGCCUUGCCAGGUGCAGGGCUGAACAAGGAGCAAGACCUGGUCACUUGACCCAGGCUGCCACCAGGGUUAUUUCCUGCCAUGAAUGUCACAUUCGAUAUAAAUUAGGAAGUUUGCUGCCUGGUGCUCUCCCCCUUGAUGGCAGCAGUCCAGAGAAUUUCUUGCCCCAGUGCCAGACCCCUGACCCCCUCCCUUCCUCCCGGAGCCGUAGCAUUCGCAGUGUCCGAGAUUUGCUGUCCCCUGCGGGGAGCGCACAGCUUCCUGCUGAUAGCACUGGCUGAGUAUAAUCCUUGUAUAUUUUAUAUUGGUAUUGGGAUCGAUAUUGGUUCUUUAGUUGGGUGCGGGCAUCAGCUAACAAAUGGCAGCCGGUCCCCACAGCCUCCCUUGGGACAGAGGGUAGACUCGGCUUCCAUGUUUUUACAGCCACAAACACAAAAUCUCACCCGUUGAAGUCCCAAUUUUCUGCUCCCCCUACUGAGUCGGGGGAAGGGAUUGUGUCCACUUCCUCUGGCUAGAAAACACUACACCACAGAUGUCUGAGCAACACUUACUUUAAUUGCUUGGCAAAACAUUCAAUUCGAUCAAGAUGAUACAAAACUUAAAUAGCAUGCUUCUGCAUUCCUACAGUAGCUUAAACAAAACUGUAAACAUAUGAAAGUGUCUAAAUUAGAUUACAGAAGUCAGAGCAAUAAAACUAAUGUUUCCAUAACUGCAGAUACAAGUUUCUUGUCUUGAUAGUGCAUUAAUAGGAACUUUAAAAAUAGUUAUAUAAUACAAUUUUCUUUGCUUUGUACAUCUGCUAAGAAGAUGAAAGCUUAAUUACCAAUUAGUGAAUGGUGUUUUCAAUACUGUAAAGUAUUUUGAAUUGAUUUUAGGGCUCCUCAGUACAGAAAAAGAAUCUCUUUCUCCUCAAUGUAACAGUAUACUAUGCUGUAUUUGAAUUGGUUUUGGACAAUUGUUCUGUCACGAUCUGUUAGGUAAAGUUCCUUUUCUAGGAGAAUCUGAUGGAGCCUUCUCAGAGGCGUAAGGAGGAAACCCUGAAGGGCUGCAGACGCAACGAGUUACGGUGCCUCUAGUUUAUUUCGAGUCUGUCCGCCUGGACAACAUUGGUCAUUGUUAAGUUUUGAUUUUAUAACAAACCGCAUCCAUAAAAUCUGUAAAACGUUGCCGAGUUCUAUUUUGUGGGACUGGUGGUGAAAACAGUCCUGAGACCUGCAGACUCACCAGGGCCCCGCCUCUCCUUUUAGGAGAAAAGAGGGAGAAAACAGAGCAAAGAAUCAUUCAGAGGAGCAAAGGAAGACAGUCUGGACAAAGUGCCUGGGAGAAAACCCUGACAUUUGAAUACAGGGAACCAAGCUUUCACUUCUUUAGAUAAAGGACUUUUUCAAGCUGCUUCAGUAGUAGAGAAAUGCUGCUUGAAGGAAAAGAGAUUUAUAUAAAAAUUAUAUCUACAAUUAGAGCAUGAUUAUGGUAAAAUAUUUGCCAUCCCUGCCCUAAACAAAACUUCUCAGGCAGAUUACUCGAGUAUGGCCCCAGCGACCGUGUAACCACAAGGAGCUUUGCAACCAGGACACGGUUAAAAAAAAAAAGACAAAUCUAAUUUAGCAUUUGUUUUAAUAAUGUAAAACUGAGGGAAAACCAAAGUGGCAACCGCGGCCUCCAUACCUAAUGACUCACCCCAGCACCUCACUCGGCGGGAGCCUGGCCUCUCCCAGCUGGACGCCUGCGUCUGUCACCUGCGUGGGCUUGGAAUCUGAGCUGGUUCUGUAGCUUCUCUCCACUGACUAAAAGAGAGGCCAUAGGGAGUAUCUAAAAUAGUAUCAAUAGCCCUUCAUCGCUAAGGAAUUUCUGUCAAAAGCUCUCAAACAUACUGAAUUUAUUUCAGUAUUGGUAUCGCCAAUUUACGUGCAGCACACAGUGGAACCCUCUAGCCACACAUGGCCUAUGUGGAAAUAAGGAAAUUCCCUUUUCAGAAAGCAGUUUUGGUUUCUAACGCAGUUUGUUCUCAAGCAGCACCUGGAAAUUGAGAGUGCAAUAUUUAACGGACUCUUGGAAAUAACAAAGAAAGGAUCUGAUCUGCAGCAUCUCGUUGUCAUCAGUACAGUCUGCAUAUGAAUUCUCCUCGGUUCCCGAGUUUCCAAAGUUAUUUCUACUCCUGAAAAAGAGCAUUUUGUUUGGAUAUAACAGGCACUACAAAUGUAAUAUAUCUAACAAUAUCCCAGAUUCCUGUACAGCAGGUUCCCAAAUGAGUCCCCUUGCUUGUCUUUACCUGCCUGGCAGGUGCUAGCUCUCUUUCUGCACCUUAGUCCUUAAUUUGCUGAGCUCCUCUUCCAAGCUUUUAAUGUGCUCCUUGAGCGCGGCUUUGUCUUGUUGCGCUUUCUGAUUAGCUUGGCACCGGGCUUCUUCUAUCUUCCGUUCGUACCACUUCUCCAUCUGUGUGGAAACGGCCUCGAAGAAGUACUGUGUUAUCUCCAGGGCCUGGGAGGUGUCUCUGAGCGGAGGGGCAGGCGGCUGUCCCCCCGGCUGUCCCCCUGGCAGGGCGCAGGGCUGCUGCUCCUGGCUCUGCUGUGCCCCUGCGUGGUGCAGAGCUUUAUGCCUCGACUGCCCGCUUUUGCUGGACUUCUUUGUCUGAGUUCCUUUGUCGAUGAAAUAGCCACUCUGUUCAGUCUUCGCAGGUUCAGUCAAGGGCUGCAAAGCAGCCUGAACCUUAACAUGUCUUAAUUUGGAGCCCAAAAGCUCGGAGGAGGGCAGCUCCUGCUGGAACCUGUGGAACGUGCU